rnacentral:rRNA from 1 species
AACGAACGCUGGCGGCAUGCCUAACACAUGCAAGUCGAACGAGACCUUCGGGUCUAGUGGCGCACGGGUGCGUAACGCGUGAGAAUCUGCCCUUGGGUUCGGAAUAACAGCGAGAAAUUGCUGCUAAUACCGGAUGAUGACGUAAGUCCAAAGAUUUAUCGCCCAAGGAUGAGCCCGCGUAGGAUUAGCUAGUUGGUGAGGUAAAGGCUCACCAAGGCGACGAUCCUUAGCUGGUCUGAGAGGAUGAUCAGCCACACUGGGACUGAGACACGGCCCAGACUCCUACGGGAGGCAGCAGUGGGGAAUAUUGGACAAUGGGCGAAAGCCUGAUCCAGCAAUGCCGCGUGAGUGAUGAAGGCCUUAGGGUUGUAAAGCUCUUUUACCCGGGAUGAUAAUGACAGUACCGGGAGAAUAAGACUCCGGGCUAACCUCCGUGCCAGCAGCCGCGGUAA